rnacentral:lncRNA from 10 species
CGGCAGGCCGCAGGUGAGCGCGCUUUAAGCGCUUUAAGAAACGACAGCGACAGCGGCAGAGCUCACCACAGGGCGCCCCUGACUCCUGGGAGCUGGCUGGUGCCCUGGAGUCUGGGCUGACGCUUGAGUGUGAGGCCUUCGCUUUCCGUGUGACCUUCAUCUUGAUGUGGGCCUGACGUCUUGCAGAACCUACCUGGGAGAGGAGAUGGUUGGAAGAGGAGAAAUUACGGCUUGGAGAGUUUCAGCCCCAGCACCCAAAGCAGAGUAUGGAAAGUGAAUCAAUGAUUGAUAUCAAGAGAGCAAACUAUUCUAAGCUGUCUUUGAGUACUCUCCUGAUUCCCUUCUCCACUCUGACAGGAACUAAAAUCACCUGACCAUGUUCAGAAUUUGAGUGUUUAAUUGAUUAGUCACUCAAGACGGAGAGUGGACCUACAAGUGUUUCUUAAGAAAAAUCCUAAUUUCACCUGUGGGCAUUUCUUGUCCAUCAUCCAGGUGUGAAUAUUGUGAUCUUUGCAUUCACUUCUUGUACGUCCAUUCAGAUAUAUCAGCUUCCAGCAAAGAGCCAGGGAACCACCAUAUUGCUUUUCACAGUGGCUGCUUCACUUUAUAUUCCCACCAGCAAUGCACAAAGAUCUCCAUUUCUCCACAUCUUUCUCAACACUUGCUAUUUAUUUCCGUGAUCAUAGCCAUUUUAAUAGGUAUGAAGUGGUAUCUCAUUUUGGUUUUGACUUGCAUUUUCCCG